GCUGAGGUCUAUCCAGACGGGCCUUCCUGUAAUGCAGUGUGGGGAACGCCUCCACGAGCAACUCUGUGGUUUGGGGUUACUCACAGGACUAUUUGUUAGAUCUGUGGAAAGGAACUACAAGGCAGGA
ensembl:snoRNA